AUUGAACGCUGGCGGCAUGCCUUACACAUGCAAGUCGAACGGCAGCACGGGAGCAAUCCUGGUGGCGAGUGGCGAACGGGUGAGUAAUAUAUCGGAACGUGCCCGGUCGUGGGGGAUAACGUAGCGAAAGCUACGCUAAUACCGCAUACGAUCUACGGAUGAAAGCGGGGGAUCGCAAGACCUCGCGCGAUUGGAGCGGCCGAUAUCAGAUUAGGUAGUUGGUGAGGUAAAGGCGUCACCAAGCCGACGAUCUGUAGCUGGUCUGAGAGGACGACCAGCCACACUGGGACUGAGACACGGCCCAGACUCCUACGGGAGGCAGCAGUGGGGAAUUUUGGACAAUGGGCGCAAGCCUGAUCCAGCAAUGCCGCGUGCAGGAUGAA
rnacentral:rRNA from 1 species